CCUACGGGAGGCAGCAGUGGGGAAUAUUGGGUAAUGGGCGCAAGCCUUACCCAGCAAUACCGCGUGAGUGAAGAAGGUCUUCGGAUUGUAAAGCUCUUUGAUCAGGGACGAACAGAUGACGGUACCUGAAGAACAAGCCCCGGCUAACUACGUGCCAGCAGCCGCGGUAAAACGUAGGGGGCGAGCGUUGUCCGGAUUCAUUGGGCUUAAAGGGAGCGUAGGCGGGCGUUCAAGUCAGCUGUAAAAUCGCGCGGCUCAACCGCGCCCCGCAGUUGAAACUGUGCAGCUAGAGUGCAGGAGAGGUAAGUGGAAUUCCUAGUGUAGCGGUGAAAUGCGUAGAUAUCGCGCAGAACUCCGAUUGCGAAGGCAGCAUGCCGGCUCCACACUGACGCUGAGGCACGAAAGCGUGGGUAUCGAACAGGAUUAGAUACCCUUGUAGUC
rnacentral:rRNA from 1 species